rnacentral:rRNA from 1 species
UGACCUCAAAUCGGGUGGAACUACCCGCUGAACUUAA